UUUUUUGUUUGGCAUAGAAAUUUGAUCUUGGAUUGGGUUGUGGCCUUAGGGGUGAUGCUAUUUUAUGCCUACGCUGGAUUUGGAGUUUUGGUUGUUAUAAUUGCUUUUGAUAAUGAGGUUUCUUUCCUUGGCUGACAUGAUACUACAUUUUUCUUUUGUAGAAUUAAAGAAUGUGACAGAUGAUGUUGGUGGAGUUUAUCCUUUUAGUAGUAAAAUUAGAGGAGAAAAAAAAAAGGACAAGAAGCUGCAUGAUGUAUUGAAAAGGAUUUGAAGAGGAAAGAAAAGAAAAUGACUAAAUAUUUAUGUUUGUGGAUUUGUUCUGGGAGCCUCCUCUAAAAUGCUAUGAGUUUUUGUACCAUCCCAUUUGAGUGAAAAUGAGCUAGGCUAUAAUAUUUUCCUUGUUAUUAAUUUGUGACAAAACUGUUAUGUGUUUGAUACCCUUUUUUAGUAUGUUUUGUGGCAAAUUAAAUAACAGAAUGAUGAGUAGGAUGGGACAAGUAGAAAGUAUUUAUGGAACAGAUUUAACUCUAAAAAUUAAAAUGUGUUAUUUAUGCACUUUCCCUGUGAAGGAAAAAAUUGAAAAUUGUCUUUUUCUAGGUUUCAGAUUGAACUUUUGCCUAAUCUUUAAUAUAUUUUGUCUUUUUUUAUUCAUUCCCUCUCAUAGUUUAGCUAAUGUGACUUCUUUUGCUUUUGGGGCCAGUGGAGCUCUCACCCUUCUGAUCCCUGAACUUCUAGUUUUUUUCUCUGUUCAUUUAUAUAGCAAGGAAGCCGAAUAUGGCUAAAUGAUUGUGACAAUCUGUGAUAAUAGUUUAACAAAUUAUUCCUGUUUGCAGUGGUAAAAAAUUGUAGUUUGGGUGAGGAAUGCUAUUUAUUCUAAUUUUUAACCAUGAAGAAAUGCUCACUUACUAUUGCUAUUCUUGUUUUUGCAGAAUAUGUUGGUCCAUAUCGUUCUGUCGAAUGGAUCUCAUCUAGAAAUUUCAAUAAAUAAUCUUGUGGCUGCUUGUUGCAGUGUAAUCAAGUUCAACUGUUGCUGUAAGUAUCAUUUAGCUGAUUGCAUCAUAAGUCCCUUUGACGAUAACAAAAGUGCCCUAAUUAGAUUACACAUUUUCAUGGUUCGAUUAUCAGUUAAGUUCUAAAGGCAGUCCUGGUAAGGGAUCACUUGGGUUGUUCCUGUUGCUAAAGAGGAUCCAGGUAAACUGAUUAAGUGUUCAAUGCAAGCAUCACAACUCAGAAGUAGAGGCAUGUCUACCAGAUUGUACUAUCAACCGAUGCAGGAAGUUGACGCCUACUGCAUGCCUCAGCUCCAAAGUUUGGACCACCAGCUAUGCUACAGUGGCAGCAGCCAAGGAUCCAAUUUAUUCAUUCUGAAUUCCCGUGAACAAUACUGCACCCUUGAGUCAUCUUCAGCAAAUGGCAGUUAUACUGUUUACAACUCUCCAUCAACCAUUAGUUUUUCACCCAAUGGAAGUCCUGUGUCACAGCAAGAGUCUCAAUCAUACCCACCUGAUACACGCCAUUCUCCUGACAAUAACUAUGGCUCCCCAGUAAGUGGUUCCUGCAUAACUGAUACUGUCCAUGACUAUCAGAACAAGUUGACAGAAUUAGAAAAUGCAUUGUUUGGUCCUGAUUCUGAUAUUAUUGACAGCACCUUUCUGAAUGGGACAACCAUUAAGUCACCUGAAAUGGAUAGCUUAAGACAAAUAGUGGAGGCAAUUUCUAGAGGGGACCUCAAAUAUGUUCUUGUUGUCUGUGCACAAGCAGUGUCAGAUAAUGAUCUUUUAAAGGCACAAUGGUUAAUGGAUGAACUGAGACAAAUGGUGUCUGUUUCUGGUGAACCAAUUCAAAGAUUGGGUGCAUACAUGUUGGAGGGGCUUGUUGCUCGGCUAGCCUCCUCAGGAAGUUCCAUCUACAAAGCUUUGAGAUGCAGAGAACCGGCCAGUGCUGAGAUGCUUUCUUACAUGCACAUUCUUUAUGAGGUGUGUCCCUAUUUCAAGUUUGGAUACAUGUCUGCAAAUGGUGCUAUUGCAGAAGCCAUGAAGGAUGAAAACAGGGUUCACAUCAUUGAUUUCCAAAUUGGUCAGGGGAGUCAGUGGGUCACUUUAAUCCAGGCCUUUGCAGCUAGACCUGGUGGGCCACCCCACAUCCGCAUUACAGGAAUUGAUGAUUCCACAUCAGCAUAUGCCCGUGGAGGAGGACUGAAUAUUGUGGGGAAGAGGCUAUCUAGGCUUGCUCAGAUAGUUAAGGUGCCAUUUGAAUUUCAUGCUGCUGCCAUGUCUGGUUGCGAGGUUCAGGUAGAGGACCUUGGCGUUCUUCCUGGGGAGGCACUAGCUGUGAAUUUUGCAUUUGUGCUUCACCACAUGCCUGAUGAAAGUGUCAGCACUCAGAAUCAUCGGGACCGGCUUCUGAGGCUGGUUAAAAGCCUGUCUCCAAAGGUGGUGACCCUUGUUGAGCAGGAAUCCAACACAAAUACUGCUGCAUUCUUUCCUCGGUUCCUUGAGACACUAAACUAUUAUAUGGCAAUGUUUGAAUCAAUUGACGUAACUCUCCCUAGAGAUCUUAAGGAGCGGAUCAAUGUUGAGCAGCACUGCCUGGCAAGGGAUGUUGUUAACAUAAUAGCAUGUGAGGGAACUGAGAGGGUGGAACGACAUGAGCUUCUUGGGAAGUGGAGGUCACGGUUCAGAAUGGCAGGGUUUACUCCAUACCCUUUAAGCUCGUUGGUGAAUUCCACCAUCAAAACUCUGCUCGAGAGUUAUUGUGAUAAAUAUAGACUCGAAGAGAGAGAUGGAGCACUUUAUCUUGGUUGGAUGAACAGAGAUUUGGUAGCAUCUUGUGCAUGGAAAUGAAAACCGGGUACCAAAUCCGCUCUGUUUUAGGAACAUGUGCAGCCAGCUGAGGUAGAACUUGUGGUAUUUUGAAUGUUUUUUCACCUUUUGCUCUGAACGGAUUUGAGAAGAAAUAUGGUAGCCUCAACUCUGUACUUUUCUUUUAAAUGAGGAAAGUUGGCCAUUUUCUUGAAACCACCAUUUCAAUGCCUUGAACCUUUUUUUUUUUUUUUU
rnacentral:misc_RNA from 1 species